AGUGAACGCUGGCGGUAGGCCUAACACAUGCGAGUCGAACGGCAGCACAGUAAGAGCUUGCUCUUACGGGUGGCGAGUGGCGGACGGGUGAGGAAUACAUCGGAAUCUACUUUUUCGUGGGGGAUAACGUAGGGAAACUUACGCUAAUACCGCAUACGACCUACGGGUGAAAGCAGGGGAUCUUCGGACCUUGCGCGAUUGAAUGAGCCGAUGUCGGAUUAGCUAGUUGGCGGGGUAAAGGCCCACCAAGGCGACGAUCCGUAGCUGGUCUGAGAGGAUGAUCAGCCACACUGGUACUGAGACACGGUCCAGACUCCUACGGGAGGCAGCAGUGGGGAAUAUUGGACAAUGGGCGCAAGCCUGAUCCAGCCAUACCGCGUGGGUGAAGAAGGCCUUCGGGUUGUAAAGCCCUUUUGUUGGGAAAGAAAAGCAGCAGGUUAAUACCCCGCUGUUCUGACGGUACCCAAAGAAUAAGCACCGGCUAACUUCGUG
rnacentral:rRNA from 1 species